rnacentral:rRNA from 1 species
GGGUUGUGAGGUUAAGCGACUAAGCGUACACGGUGGAUGCCCUGGCAGUCAGAGGCGAUGAAGGACGUGCUAAUCUGCGAUAAGCGUCGGUAAGGUGAUAUGAACCGUUAUAACCGGCGAUUUCCGAAUGGGGAAACCCAGUGUGUUUCGACACACUAUCAUUAACUGAAUCCAUAGGUUAAUGAGGCGAACCGGGGGAACUGAAACAUCUAAGUACCCCGAGGAAAAGAAAUCAACCGAGAUUCCCCCAGUAGCGGCGAGCGAACGGGGAGCAGCCCAGAGCCUGAAUCAGUGUGUGUGUUAGUGGAAGCGUCUGGAAAGGCGCGCGAUACAGGGUGACAGCCCCGUACACAAAAAUGCACAUGCUGUGAGCUCGAUGAGUAGGGCGGGACACGUGGUAUCCUGUCUGAAUAUGGGGGGACCAUCCUCCAAGGCUAAAUACUCCUGACUGACCGAUAGUGAACCAGUACCGUGAGGGAAAGGCGAAAAGAACCCCGGCGAGGGGAGUGAAAAAGAACCUGAAACCGUGUACGUACAAGCAGUGGGAGCCUCUUUAUGGGGUGACUGCGUACCUUUUGUAUAAUGGGUCAGCGACUUAUAUUCUGUAGCAAGGUUAACCGAAUAGGGGAGCCGAAGGGAAACCGAGUCUUAACUGGGCGUUAAGUUGCAGGGUAUAGACCCGAAACCCGGUGAUCUAGCCAUGGGCAGGUUGAAGGUUGGGUAACACUAACUGGAGGACCGAACCGACUAAUGUUGAAAAAUUAGCGGAUGACUUGUGGCUGGGGGUGAAAGGCCAAUCAAACCGGGAGAUAGCUGGUUCUCCCCGAAAGCUAUUUAGGUAGCGCCUCGUGAAUUCAUCUCCGGGGGUAGAGCACUGUUUCGGCAAGGGGGUCAUCCCGACUUACCAACCCGAUGCAAACUGCGAAUACCGGAGAAUGUUAUCACGGGAGACACACGGCGGGUGCUAACGUCCGUCGUGAAGAGGGAAACAACCCAGACCGCCAGCUAAGGUCCCAAAGUCAUGGUUAAGUGGGAAACGAUGUGGGAAGGCCCAGACAGCCGGGAUGUUGGCUUAGAAGCAGCCAUCAUUUAAAGAAAGCGUAAUAGCUCACUGGUCGAGUCGGCCUGCGCGGAAGAUGUAACGGGGCUAAACCAUGCACCGAAGCUGCGGCAGCGACACUAUGUGUUGUUGGGUAGGGGAGCGUUCUGUAAGCCUGUGAAGGUGUACUGUGAGGUAUGCUGGAGGUAUCAGAAGUGCGAAUGCUGACAUAAGUAACGAUAAAGCGGGUGAAAAGCCCGCUCGCCGGAAGACCAAGGGUUCCUGUCCAACGUUAAUCGGGGCAGGGUGAGUCGACCCCUAAGGCGAGGCCGAAAGGCGUAGUCGAUGGGAAACAGGUUAAUAUUCCUGUACUUGGUGUUACUGCGAAGGGGGGACGGAGAAGGCUAUGUUGGCCGGGCGACGGUUGUCCCGGUUUAAGCGUGUAGGCUGGUUUUCCGGGCAAAUCCGGAAAAUCAAGGCUGAGGCGUGAUGACGAGGCACUACGGUGCUGAAGCAACAAAUGCCCUGCUUCCGGGAAAAGCCUCUAAGCAUCAGGUAACAUCAAAUCGUACCCCAAACCGACACAGGUGGUCAGGUAGAGAAUACCAAGGCGCUUGAGAGAACUCGGGUGAAGGAACUAGGCAAAAUGGUGCCGUAACUUCGGGAGAAGGCACGCUGAUAUGUAGGUGAAGUCCCUCGCGGAUGGAGCUGAAAUCAGUCGAAGAUACCAGCUGGCUGCAACUGUUUAUUAAAAACACAGCACUGUGCAAACACGAAAGUGGACGUAUACGGUGUGACGCCUGCCCGGUGCCGGAAGGUUAAUUGAUGGGGUUAGCGGUAACGCGAAGCUCUUGAUCGAAGCCCCGGUAAACGGCGGCCGUAACUAUAACGGUCCUAAGGUAGCGAAAUUCCUUGUCGGGUAAGUUCCGACCUGCACGAAUGGCGUAAUGAUGGCGGGCUGUCUCCACCCGAGACUCAGUGAAAUUGAACUCGCUGUGAAGAUGCAGUGUACCCGCGGCAAGACGGAAAGACCCCGUGAACCUUUACUAUAGCUUGACACUGAACAUUGAGCCUUGAUGUGUAGGAUAGGUGGGAGGCUUUGAAGUGUGGACGCCAGUCUGCAUGGAGCCGACCUUGAAAUACCACCCUUUAAUGUUUGAUGUUCUAACGUUGGCCCCUGAUCGGGGUUGCGGACAGUGUCUGGUGGGUAGUUUGACUGGGGCGGUCUCCUCCUAAAGAGUAACGGAGGAGCACGAAGGUUGGCUAAUCCUGGUCGGACAUCAGGAGGUUAGUGCAAUGGCAUAAGCCAGCUUGACUGCGAGCGUGACGGCGCGAGCAGGUGCGAAAGCAGGUCAUAGUGAUCCGGUGGUUCUGAAUGGAAGGGCCAUCGCUCAACGGAUAAAAGGUACUCCGGGGAUAACAGGCUGAUACCGCCCAAGAGUUCAUAUCGACGGCGGUGUUUGGCACCUCGAUGUCGGCUCAUCACAUCCACGGGGCUGAAGUAGGUCCCAAGGGUAUGGCUGUUCGCCAUUUAAAGUGGUACGCGAGCUGGGUUUAGAACGUCGUGAGACAGUUCGGUCCCUAUCUGCCGUGGGCGCUGGAGAACUGAGGGGGGCUGCUCCUAGUACGAGAGGACCGGAGUGGACGCAUCACUGGUGUUCGGGUUGUCAUGCCAAUGGCACUGCCCGGUAGCUAAAUGCGGAAGAGAUAAGUGCUGAAAGCAUCUAAGCACGAAACUUGCCCCGAGAUGAGUUCUCCCUGACUCCUUGAGAGUCCUGAAGGAACGUUGAAGACGACGACGUUGAUAGGCCGGGUGUGUAAGCGCAGCGAUGCGUUGAGCUAACCGGUACUAAUGAACCGUGAGGCUUAACCUUACAACGCCGAAG